CCACUGUCGGCCUUCACAAAUGGGCCGCGGCGCGCUUGCCGCGGCGUCCGCUCCGCCCGAGCCUAGUAAUGGGGCGAGGCGUCACGGCGGCGUUCCUGCACGCCUUGUCGGCUUCGGAGCUAGCCUUGGCGGGGGCGGGCCGAGGCGUCGCGGCGGAGGACGAUAAGCAGACGAGCACGCGCCGCCGGCGCGUUUGCCGUGGGCGUCCGCUACGCCAGAGCCCAGGAGUGGGGCGAGGGGUCGCGCCGGCGUUCCUACGCGCCUUGUCGCCCUUGAAGCUGGCCUUGGCGGGCCGAGGCGUCGCGGCGUAGGACGAUAAGGCGGCCGGCGUGCUCUGUUGGGGCGACGCGUCGCGGCGCUCCGGCUCCAGCAGAUGACAGCAGAGAGCCAGGUGUGGCUUUGUGUCGCCAACAACCACGAGGUCAUCGGCACCGGCCACCGUGCCAGGCUGGACCAACUGCUGCAGCCCCCCUGCGCCGUGGCCGUCGCCGUGGCACAAGAAGCGCGAGUUCCCCCUCGCUGUCGGAGGCUGGGUGUCGUUCUCUAGUGCAGAUUGUCUAAUUGAGUUUCUGAAAGCGUCGUCCACGUCUGCACUUCAUGGGACCAUACACUAGGAACUCACGCCAGAGAACUUCCUGCUCACCAGAUUGGUUUCAGUUUCUCUGUCUCCAUCGAAGAAGUGGCAAGCAUGGUUAGGGCGAGCAACGAGGGUUCCUGUAGUGCAUAACCAUUUCAAGUCGCCCAAGUUCUAAAGAGAGAUCAGAAGUGCCAGCUACUGAAGCAAAAAAAAGGACCUGAUACACAUUGUAAUCAUGGACUGCUGAUAUACCUGAUGCAUUUCUUCAUGAUGGUCGAUUUCCUUUCACCGGAUCUUACAUGUUUAAUUAUGUGUGCUCAGAACCAAAAACUGAUUGAGAUCUUCAGUUCUUACUUGCAGAUGUUCUGUUAUUCAGAGUAAUUCAGUUUCCAGUCUCUGUGUAUUAAUCAAAUUAUGGGUUAUUUUCAACCAUAUAGGCUUUUAUUAUAUGUUCAGUUAUGCUUCCAUGGGUUUUGCAUAUGUAUUAACAAAACAACCAGACUGCUAUUAUGUAUAUACUUGGAUCAAAGGGUGUACAAUUAAUUUGCUCUUACGAAAGGAAUGAGUAGGCAGCUAGCAGAAUGGGAGGACAAUCAUGACAAGCGAACGAACACAUAAAUAGUAAUCCCACAAUUUUUACAACUGCAUUCCACUUUAAUUUGGUAUGGACAUGCAUUUUUAUCCUUGGAGUACUUUGGAUUUUAAGUGGGAAUCAUUGGUUCUUUUCUUCUUAAUAUUUUACUUCUUAUAAUUACAAAUACCAAUUUUAGAGAAUUGAGCUCGUACUUAAAAUUCAAUUGAGUAUGAAGCAACUGCCCAUUGUGUGAAAGAAACAAUUAUAACAUUGUACUCUAACAAAUCACACAUAUAGAGAAAUGUUAUUUUCGAGUCUCCUUAACCUACUGAUCUUUUUUUAGAUAUAUGAAACUUGCAUUUGUUUUCUUAAUUCUUUUGCAAUGCAGGUGAUAUUCCUUGGUUGCAGCUGACGCUAAAAAAAAUUACUCCUGAAGCACUAGAAGUGCCCUCUCUAUGGCGCAUCACUCACUGGAUCCAGAUGGGCAACAUUCCGCUUCAAGAUUAAAGACUGGAGCUGGAGUUACAUAUGAGAGUACAGAUAAUUAAGUUGUGCUCCUGACUUGAUUAACAAAAGCUGCAGAAGAAAGGGACAAAAUACCAAAAAGCUGAAAAUUUGAAGAAAGGUGGAAGUAGGGAACUACCCAACUUGAUUCAAGAUUACGAAGGGAAAAAGGGCAUUGAUUGAGCAGGAGAAAACAAUAAUGGGCCGAGGCAAGGAUAUAGUGCUCAGUUAGUAAAGAGAUAUGUGGGAAGUGGAGCAGCGGGAUGCAAAUGGAAUUUUUGUGACUCACUGAAGGUGAGCAAAACUUCAGAAAAGAAAUUGCAACAGAAGUAGAGCCUCAUCACCAAGAGAACAUAGGGAUUUUAAGUUUUUUGUAGCCUGCACCGGAGACUGUAGAGUUAAGUUUCUACAUCUCAGUGUACAAUUUAACUAUAUCAGGUUAUUUACUAUGUAGUAAAUAUUUGCUUUUGCCAUUGCUGAUCAUGUCCUUCUCUCUGUGCUUGGAAGCAUAAACUUACUUAGCGAUCCUUUUUUGUUAGGCUAAACUUACAUCCUUCUGCUAAUAGUUUAGUGAUCUAAUGAUUAUAAUGAUUAUUCAAAAGG
rnacentral:rRNA from 1 species